ACGGCGUGUGCGUUGGUCAUUGCGCUACGCACAAAGAAGAUGCGCUGCUUGAUUUCACUUUGUGCGUGUGACAGUGACAAUGCACGCACGUCACUGCUUC
rnacentral:pre_miRNA from 1 species